AUCAACAGUAUUGCAAAACAUGCAGAGUGUCUCCAAAAAGAGAUUUAAAAAUAAUAUGUUUAUGUCAAUUCAUAGAUAUUUAUGACAUUGAGUAUACUAUAAAAUAGAAUUGUACACAAUGUAUUAACAAUUGCCAAAGAGAUUCUAGGUCCACAAACACGAAGUUGGCACUCAUAUGCAGAUGGAUCAAUUGUUAAAAGAAGAUAUUUAUACAAAAACAGUUGCACUUACGCUGACACCCUGAAAGCCCUUCCGAAACUGAUAAGCUAAAACAUCAGCAUUCCCGGUGGAUCUUCAAACUGGAGAAAAUGUUAAUUAAGCAUUAUUCGACAUCUUACCUGCGAUCCUUAGACUAAAACAUCUUUGGCAGAAUGCUUAAGUGAAGUAAAUAGAGUGGAAGGAGAAACUGAAUCUUCACUGCGAAUAGAAGAACAAAAUGCCGAAACAACAACAAUAUCUUACACUUUUGUGCAUCAUAUUUGUAAACAUCAAUCACAUACUUGACGAAGAUAUAACUUCACAUGGACAGAUAAUUAUUAAAAAACUAUUAUUUUAAAAUCUAACAAUCUAGAUGAAAAUGGCAUUAUCAAUCAAUUAAAUUCUUGGGAAGCCUUUAAUACUGGUACCAAAAGGAAAUUUAAAAAUUGAAACCGUAGUUAAACGAUUGACUGAUUCCAUUCCGAAAUGUUCGCAAACAAUACAAGAAUACAUUAUCUUGAAAAACAUCUUGAACGAAAGAUGAAGAAUGGGCGAGUGAGAAAGUAUAUAAAGAUAAUAGAAAUUAUUAAUUAAAUGAAGUUAAUAGUCAAACUUGGAAAUAGAGUAUACACCCUUUUAGCCGAUGUUAAAAGUGAUGAUAUAAUCCAUUUAAUUAAUAGUUUAAAUAGAUUUAAAGACAAAACAAUUCAAAUCUUUGAUGCUGCCCUAAGUCAACCUGAUAUUAUUUCAAUAGAAGAAACGAAUUCUAAAUCUAAACAACAUAUGGAAUAUGCUAUUGAGAUGACGAAUUCGAGGCACAU